AAUAUUGAGCUUCAACAUAUUUAAAAAUAUAAGAAAUUACAGACAACUAAAAAUAAGCUAAUUGAUCUACGAAAAUGAAAAAUACACCAAAUGCAUUCACAUAUAGAGAGGUGAUGUCAUGACAUUGGCUUCCAACAAGUAUUUAUAACUACCGAGUGGAAGCAACGGUCUAGAUAAGAUGUAAAUUAAUGAGAGUAGAGGGUGGAGAUUCAGACAUGUCAUCAAUACCAAACAAGAACACGUCACGUUAAUUUAACAAACUCUGUAGAGGAUAGAAGGGAUUAAUGGAUAAUUGGUAUCUUUCUCAUUUAUUCUCUCAGAUUUGUCCUUUCUUCUUCUUCCUUCCUAAUAUCAUUCAUUCUUCUUCUGCAAAUUAAGGACUCAUCUAUUGAAAUUUCCACACUUCAGAUUCAUUUUCCAUUGUAUCAAGUUGUAAUUCCUUAUGUUCAGUUGAUUAAUAGAAUAUUGUGCAAAAACUUCUACUUUUCUAUUAAAGUUCGGUUUGAUAAUUAUUGAAUUGAGGUCAGGUUUUAAUAAUUGGUAUUAGAGCAACGGUGCGCUCAGUUCGUGAAGGUGAAAACGGCUGAACGGACCGGGAUGAAUAUUCUAGAGGAUAAGUUGCAGCGUCAUGAUGAAAUUUUUGGAGAUCUCACUAUGAAUUGCAGAGAAAUCAAUGAAACUCAAUCUAGAAUCAGGGGAACCUUGGAACUUAUUUUGGAUCAUUUGACAACUAUAAAGAUCACAAGUAAGAGCUCUUGAAUGUGCUUUUACGGUGAGAGAUGGGACGCUACCAAAUCCCAUACAGGAAGAUAGGGCCAUAUUGGCAAUUCGAACUCCUAAAUGGGAACUACCAUGAUUCAAAGGGAACAAACAUAAGCAGAGUACUUAGGACAUGUUAUUAAUGCGGAAGGGUUGUCAACUAAGCCUGCCAAGGUGAAGGCUAUGGAAGAAUGGCCUACCUUUAGAACAGUUAAAGCUUUGAGGGGAUUUCUGGGCUUAACAUGAUAUUAUAGAAUGUAUGUACGUAAUUAUGGAAGCAUAAGCAGACCACUAUCCGACUUGUUGAAGAAGGAUACUUUUGUGUGGACUAAGGAAGUUGAUCAAUUUUUAGCGGCACUUAAAAGGGCCAUGUCUACCACAACAAUGCUUGCGUUGCUAAAUUAUGAUGAAGAAUUUGUAUUAGAGACUGAUGCAUGUCAUUCAGGAAUUGGAGCAAUGCUAUUACAAAGUGGAAGGCCAAAAGCCUAUUCUAGUGAGGUAUUGGCUAUGAAACAUACACAUAAAUCCAUCUACGAGAAAGAAUAUUUAGCUCUAUUGAAUGCAAUAGACAAGUGGAGACAUUACCUUCAAUACAAGCAUUGUGUGGUCAAGACUGACCAUUAUAGAUUGAAAUAUUUGUUUGAACAGGAGGUUACUACACUAGAGUAACAAAGAGGUCUGACCAAAUUGUUAAAGUUAGAUUAUGAGGUGCAACAUAAGAAAGGAGCAGAGAAUGGAGUGGUUCAUGCACUCUCAAGGCUUUUUGAUGGGGUUAGCUUAAGUGAAGUUGAUACAAUGUCUAACCUACUAGAAGAAAACCACUUGUGUGAAGAAGUCCAGUUAGAUGCUAUCAGUGUAGCAGUUCAAUUUUGGUUCCAAGAUGUUGCAGCUAGCUAUGAAGAAUAUCUUAUGAUUGUAUAGCUCAUUACACAAUUGACAGUAGAUAGUAAUCGUCCUAACUUGUGGCAAUUUUACUUAGGAGUAUUGGGAAUGGAGGGGAAGAUUUAUGUGGGCUCGAAAGGACCUAUUCGGCAUUAGUUGAUCGAGACCUUAGCUUCUAACUUAGGGGGCACUCAAUCCAACUUGGAAAUUUCAAAAGAUUAUCUCUAUUAAUUUAUUGGCCUUCAAUGAAACAAAUCGUGGUGCAGUUUGUAUCUGAAUGUUAGGUUUUUCAUAUAAACAAGGAUGAGAAUGUUUCAUAUCAAGGUUUUUUGCGACCCUUGCCCAUUACUAUACAGUCAUGGAAACCCAUAAGUUUGGAUUUUAUUGAAGGUUUGCCUAAAUCCUCAAGCAAAUAUUUUAUUUAUCUAGUGGUUGAUAGGCUCGCUAAAGAUGAUCAUUUUAUAGCUCUAUCCCACCAUUUCACAUCUCUGCAAGUGGCAACUAAAUUGUGGAAGUGAGUACACAGUCUUCAUGGUUGAACUGAGUCCAUUAUCUCUAAUCGAGAUAGGACAUUUCUCAGUAUAUUCUGGCAAGCUCUUUUCGAAUUGAAUGAAAUUCACCUUUUAUAUAGUUCUUCAUAUCAUCCUCAAAUAGAUGGGCAAAUAGAGAGGGUUAAUCGGUGUAUAGAAAAAUUACUUGAGGUGCAUGACUAGUACCUCAUAAGUGGAAGCAGCGGUUACCCCUAGAUGAGAGGUGGUACAACACCAACUACCACACAUACUUGAAAUGCGUCUCUUUUGAAGCUCAGUAUGGGUACUCACCUCCUCAACUAUUGAUGGGACCAAUGAUGGAUGUUGUGGUGCAUGCUGAUGAAUAUUUGAUCACAAAAAGGCAACAUGUGCAACAAAUUCUUAAAGACAAUUUGCUGAAAGCUCAAGAGAGAAUGAAAAACUAAGUUAAUCUAUAUAGGACCAAAGGGAGUUUCAACAUGGUGCAAUGGUAUACCUCAAGCUCCAACCGUAUAGACAUUCCUUCAUUGCUCUACGAAGAAAUUUGAAGCUCAGCUGCAAAUACUAUAGCUCGUACCAGAUUCUAGAAUGUAUUGGACCUGUAUGAUAUAUCUUCCACCUACUUCUAAAGUGCAUCCAGUGUUCCAUGUAUCGGUUCUCAAAAAGAACAUAGGGGCUAGAGAGGUGGUACAAUCCAUUCUACCAAUAACUGGGCAGGAUGGUCAGUUUUUGGUUCAACCAGUGGCUGUUCUUCAGCGGCAAAUGGUGAAGCCGAACAAUCGAGCCAAUAUGAAAUUGCUUAUACAGUGGUCGAAUGUACCACCAUAAGAUACUAGAUAGGAAGAUUAUUAUUUCAACUAGGCCAAGUUUCAUGCUUUUAUUAUUAACCCUCGGGACAAAGAUGAUUUGCAUGUGAGGGAAUUGUCAUGACCUUGGCUUCAAACAUGUAGUUAUAACUACUUGGUAGAAGAAACGGUCCAAAUUAGAUGUACAUUAAUGAGAUUAGAGAGUGAAGAUACAGCCACGUCGUCACUGCUAAACCAGCACAUGUCACGUUGAUAUAACCAACUCUCAAGAGGAAACAGGGGAUUGACCGAUAAGUGGUAUCUUUCCCACUUGUUCUCUCUUCUCUGAGAUCUCUCCUUUCUCCUUAUUACAUCCUAAUCUCACUCAUUCUUGUUUUUCAAAUUAAGGACUAACCAAUGGAAAUUUCAAAACUUUAAAUUCA